rnacentral:tRNA from 1 species
CGUUAGCUCAGUUGGUAGAGCAGUGGACUCUUAAUCCGUUUGUCGUAGGUUCGACCCCUACACGG